GCAGCAGUGGGGAAUAUUGCACAAUGGGCGGAAGCCUGAUGCAGCAACGCCGCGUGCGGGAUGACGGCCUUCGGGUUGUAAACCGCUUUCACCCAUGACGAAGCGCGAGUGACGGUAGUGGGGGAAGAAGCACCGGCCAACUACGUGCCAGCAGCCGCGGUGAUACGUAGGGUGCGAGCGUUGUCCGGAAUUAUUGGGCGUAAAGAGCUUGUAGGCGGUUGACCGCGUCGAUAGUGAAAUCCCGGGGCUUAACUUCGGGCUUGCUGUCGAUACGGGUUGACUUGAGGAAGGUAGGGGAGAAUGGAACUCCCGGUGGAGCGGUGGAAUGCGCAGAUAUCGGGAAGAACACCAGUGGCGAAGGCGGUUCUCUGGACCUUUCCUGACGCUGAGAAGCGAAAGCGUGGGGAGCAAACAGGCUUAGAUACCCUGGUAGUCCACGCUGUAAACGGUGGGUACUAGGUGUGGGUCGCAUUCCACGUGAUCCGUGCCGUAGCCAACGCAUUAAGUACCCCGCCUGGGGAGUACGGCCGCAAGGCUAAAACUCAAAUGAAUUGACGG
rnacentral:rRNA from 1 species